rnacentral:rRNA from 1 species
ACUACGGGUGGCAGCAGUGGGGAAUAUUGCACAAUGGGGGGAACCCUGAUGCAGCGACGCCGCGUGAGUGAAGAAGUAUUUCGGUAUGUAAAGCUCUAUCAGCAGGGAAGAAAAUGACGGUACCUGACUAAGAAGCCCCGGCUAACUACGUGCCAGCAGCCGCGGUAAUACGUAGGGGGCAAGCGUUAUCCGGAUUUACUGGGUGUAAAGGGAGCGCAGACGGCAGUGCAAGUCUGGAGUGAAAGGCGGGGGCCCAACCCCCGGACUGCUCUGGAAACUGUAAAGCUGGAGUGCAGGAGAGGUAAGCGGAAUUCCUAGUGUAGCGGUGAAAUGCGUAGAUAUUAGGAGGAACACCAGUGGCGAAGGCGGCUUACUGGACUGCAACUGACGUUGAGGCUCGAAAGCGUGGGGAGCAAACAGGAUUAGAUACCCGAGUAGUC